rnacentral:snRNA from 1 species
GUGCUCAUUUUGGUCACAUAGACCAAGAACUGAAGUGAUACAGAGGACAUUAGCAAAGUCGCUGUGCAAAUAUGACAUGCAAAUUCAUGCGGCAUUCCAUUUCAGA